rnacentral:rRNA from 1 species
UACAGAGGUCUCAAGCGUUGUUCGGAUUCAUUGGGCGUAAAGGGUGCGUAGGCGGCGAGGUAAGUCGGAUGUGAAAUCCCGGGGCUCAACCCCGGAACUGCAUUCGAUACUGCCUUGCUCGAGUACUGGAGAGGAGACUGGAAUUUACGGUGUAGCAGUGAAAUGCGUAGAUAUCGUAAGGAAGACCAGUGGCGAAGGCGAGUCUCUGGACAGUUCCUGACGCUGAGGCACGAAGGCCAGGGGAGCAAACGGG